UACAGAGGGUGCGAGCGUUGUCCGGAAUCACUGGGCGUAAAGGGCGCGUAGGCGGCCUGUUAAGUCGAACGUGAAAUCCCCGGGCUCAACCCGGGAACUGCGUCCGAUACUGGCUCGCUAGAGUGCGGUAGAGGAGAGUGGAAUUCCCGGUGUAGCAGUGAAAUGCGUAGAGAUCGGGAGGAACAUCAGUUGCGAAGGCGGCUCUCUGGACCAGCACUGACACUGAGGCACGAAAAGCGUGGGGGAGCAAAACAGG
rnacentral:rRNA from 1 species